UCGGCCGUAACACAAACAUCCUCUGAACUGGACAAACACACAUACAGAUCAGACUACGCGGCAGCUGACGAGCAGUGUUUGAGGAGGUGUGUCCAGGAAACAGUGGCCGGCGCUCGCUUCCUGUGUGACAGUCUUGAGAAGCUGAGAAGAUAUGCGCAGAUGUGGCUGAGAGAGCAAGG